GGGCGUUUGGUCUAGUGGUAUGAUUCAAGCUUUGGGUGCGAGAUGUCGCGAGUUCGAUUCUCGCCACGCCCC
rnacentral:tRNA from 1 species